UACAGAGGGGGCAAGCGUUGUUCGGAAUUACUGGGCGUAAAGGGCGUGUAGGCGGUCCGGUAAGUCCGCUGUGAAAGUCGGGGGCUCAACCCUCGGAUGCCGGUGGAUACUGUCGGGCUUGAGUACGGAAGAGGCGAGUGGAAUUCCUGGUGUAGCGGUGAAAUGCGCAGAUAUCAGGAGGAACACCAAUUGCGAAGGCAGCUCGCUGGGACGUUACUGACGCUGAGACGCGAAAGCGUGGGGAGCAAACAGG
rnacentral:rRNA from 1 species